GAUGAAGAACGUAGUGAAAUGCGAUAAGUAAUGUGAAUUGCAGAAUUCAGUGAAUCAUCGAAUCUUUGAACGCACAUUGGGCCCCUUGGUAUUCCGAGGGGCAUGCCCGUUCGAGCGUCAUUAUACCCCUCAAGCCUAGCUUGGUGUUGGGGCCUGCUGUUACCGGCAGCCCUUAAAAUCAGUGGCGGUGCCAUCUGGCUCUAAGCGUAGUAAUACUUCUCGCUACAGGGUCCCGGUGGAUGCUUGCCAUCAACCCCUAAUUUUCUAUGGUUGACCUCGGAUCGGGUAGGGAUACCCGCUGAACUUAAGCAUAUCAAUAAGCGGAGGA
rnacentral:misc_RNA from 1 species